CAGAACAGCCAGCUCCCCCUGUGGCCGCCAAAACAGCUCAAUCUGCGGCGCCAGAAGACCCAGCUCCCCCAUGUGGCCGUCAUCAGAGCUCCCCAUGCGGCCGCCAGCACACAGGUAGCAAUUAUGUGUGUCAGUGUGAGUGUACAUGUGUGUCUGUCUGUGUCAUGAUGUGUGUGCGUCUGUGUCAUGGUGUGUGUGUCUGUGUCAUUGUGUGUCUCUGUCUGUGCCAUGGUGUGUGUGUGUGUGUGUUUGUCUGUGUCAUGCAAUGUGUGUCUGUGUCAUUGUGUGUGUGUCUCUGUCUGUCAUGGUGUGUGCGUCUGUCUGUGUCAUGCAAUGUGUGUCUAUGUCAUUGUGUGUGUGUGUCUGUCAUGUAAUGUGUAUCUGUCUGUGUCAUUGUGUGUGUUUGUCAUGGUGUGUGUGUGUAUGUAUGUCAUGGUGUGUGUGUGUGUCUGUGUCAUGUAAUGUGUGUCUGUCUGUGUCACGGUGUGUGUGUCUCUGUCACGGUGUGUGUGUCUGUCUGUGUCAUUGUGUGUCUGUCUGUCAUGGUGUGUCUGUGUUUCUGUCUGUGUCACGGUGUGUGUGUGUUUCUGUCUGUGUCACGGUGUGUUUGUGUCUGUGUCACGGUCUGUCUGUGUCAUGGUGUGUGUCUGUCAUGGUAUGUGUGUGUGUAUAUGUGUUUUUACUCACCUUUUUUCCCCCCCCACGUUGUGCUGGUCUCCCCUCGACCAGCUACGGCUGAGAUCAUCAAGCUUGAUGAUCUCAGCCAAUCCGCACUGACACAAGAAGCACCUCUACUGACCUUCUGAGUGUCUGUCACUAGGAAGCAAUGUAAACACUGCCUUUUCUCUAAAAAGUCAGUGUUUACAUUGAAAAGCCUGCAG